GGGGAUGUAGCUCACAUGGUAGAGCGCUUGCUUAACAUGCGAGAUGUACAAGGAUUGAUACUUUGUAUGUCCA
rnacentral:tRNA from 1 species